rnacentral:rRNA from 1 species
GACGAACGCUGGCGGCGUGCCUAAUACAUGCAAGUAGAACGAAGUUGCGAACGGGGGAGUAACGCGUAGGUAACUGCCUCAUAGCGGGGGGUAACUAUUUGAAACGAUAGCUAAUACCGCAUAAUGUGAGAUGGAACUGCGUUGUAUUAGCUAGUUGGUGGGGUAAAGGCUCACCAAGGCGACGAUACAUAGCCGACCUGAGAGGGUGACCGGCAACACUGGGACGGAGAAACGGCCCAGACUCCAACGGGAGGAAGCAGUGGGGAAUCUGCGGCAAUGGACGAAAGUCUGACCGAGCAACGCCGAGUGGGUGAAGAAGGUUUUCGGAUCGUAAAACUCUGUUGUCAGAGAGGCGGUAUCUAACCAGAAAGCCACGGCUAACUACGUGCCAGCAGCCGCGGUAAUUC